rnacentral:rRNA from 1 species
GAUGAACGCUGGCGGCGUGCCUAAUACAUGCAAGUCGAGCGAACAGACGAGGAGCUUGCUCCUCUGACGUUAGCGGCGGCCGGGUGAGUAACACGUGGAUAACCUACCUAUAAGACUGGGAUAACUUCGGGCAACCGGAGCUAAUACCGGAUAAUAUAUUGAACCGCAUGGUUCAAUAGUGAAAGACGGUUUUGCUGUCACUUAUAGAUGGAUCCGCGCCGCAUUAGCUAGUUGGUAAGGUAACGGCUUACCAAGGCAACGAUGCGUAGCCGACCUGAGAGGGUGAUCGGCCACACUGGAACUGAGACACGGUCCAGACUCCGACGGGAGGCAGCAGUAGGGAAUCUUCCGCGAUGGGCGAAAGCCUGACGGAGCAACGCCGCGUGAGUGAUGAAGGUCUUCGGAUCGUAAAACUCUGUUAUUAGGGAAGAACAAAUGUGUAAGUAACUAUGCACGUCUUGACGGUACCUAAUCAGAAAGCCACGGCUAACUACGUG